CAGAAUCCUUGCCAAUUGUCUUGACGUGUUCUGUCAACGCAAAAGUAACUCUUUGAAAAAUUAUGUCUCUUCACAGACCUUCAUUACGUCCAGAAUGAUUGAGUUGCAUUGGAACUUGAUGCUUGUGGUACAACUUCCUUCACCUACGUUAAGUUAGCAGAAGAAUAAGAGCUUACAGAGUUUACAGCUGGAGCAAGAAGAGAUGCUGAUAUUGCAACCCCAACAAGAGAUCCA